AGAUUGAACGCUGGCGGCAUGCUUUACACAUGCAAGUCGAACGGUAACAGGCCGCAAGGUGCUGACGAGUGGCGAACGGGUGAGUAAUGCAUCGGAACGUGCCCAGUCGUGGGGGAUAACGCAGCGAAAGCUGUGCUAAUACCGCAUACGAUCUAUGGAUGAAAGCGGGGGACCGAAAGGCCUCGCGCGAUUGGAGCGGCCGAUGUCAGAUUAGCUAGUUGGUGGGGUAAAGGCCCACCAAGGCGACGAUCUGUAGCUGGUCUGAGAGGACGACCAGCCACACUGGAACUGAGACACGGUCCAGACUCCUACGGGAGCAGCAGUGGGGAAUAUUGGACAA
rnacentral:rRNA from 1 species